UACGUAGGGGGCAAGCGUUGUCCGGAUUUAUUGGGCGUAAAGAGCGUGUAGGCGGCCAGAAAAGUCCGCUGUGAAAACUCGAGGCUCAACCUCGAGACGUCGGCGGAAACCAUCUGGCUAGAGUCCGGAAGAGGAGAGUGGAAUUCCUGGUGUAGCGGUGAAAUGCGCAGAUAUCAGGAAGAACACCCGUGGCGAAGGCGGCUCUCUGGGACGGUACUGACGCUGAGACGCGAAAGCGUGGGGAGCGAACAGG
rnacentral:rRNA from 1 species